UUCCCAAGAAGAAAGGCAAGAUAGUUUCAAUUGUUGGAUUUGGAGGCAUGGGAAAGACAACUCUUGCCAAUGCAGUGUACAAAAAGAUUAGAGCACAAUUUGAUUGCUAUGCUUUUGUUUCUGUUUCUCAAACUCCUGACCUGAAGAGAUUAUACAACGGCUUGCUAUAUGAUCUUGGCAAGAGCAUCAAUGAGGAAACAUUGGGUGAGAGGCGGCUCAUAGAAGUACUCAGAGAAUUCCUUGAAGACAAAAGGUAUCGAAAGCAUUCCUUUCGCCAAUUUAUACAUUUGAACUUUUUUUACUGAUAAUUUAUACCCUCCGUUCACAAUACUAUAAGUCUACAUAGGGUUAAUUAAAUGUUCGUGGCACCUAUUAAAUUACAAAAUACAGCCACUUAAGCUUUACCACAGCAUUAUUAAGUGCAAAUAAUUUCCUCACUGGACCUCGUUUAGUUUUGACAAAAUUCUGAGUUGACUUAUUUUAUCCACAGACUUGCCAAUUCAGCUGCCCCCGAGCUAUUUUAGUUUAAUCAUUAAACCAUUAGCAGUGGUCUAGUUUGCUUAAUUUUCUUGUAGCUGGUACAUGAACAACAUUAGAGCUUUCUUCAGUCCUUAAACCACUAUUUCUGACUAAUAACUUGGCAUAUGUGUAGGUAUUUUGUUGUUGUUGAUGACAUAUGGGAUAUAUCAGUUUGGAAAAUGAUUAGAUGUGCUUUGCCUGAUAAUGAUGUUGGAUACACUAUUAUUACAACCACCCGUAUUUCUCAUGUUGCUGAACAAGCUGGGGGUGCUUACAACAUGAAACCUCUUUCUUUGAAUAACUCCCGAAAACUACUAUAUAGAAGAAUAUUUGGUAGUGGGAAUAAAGACAACAAUGAAACAGAAGAAAAAUGUCAUAAGGAGAUGGCCGAAGUAUCUGACAGAAUACUGAAAAAAUGUGCUGGUGUGCCAUUGGCUAUAAUUACGAUGGCUAGUUUACUAGCUUGCAAAGCAAGAAAUAAAAUGGAGUGGUAUGAGGUGUACAAUUCUGUUGGUACUGGUCUGGAAAACAAUCUAGAUGUGGAGAAUAUGAGAAAGAUUUUAUCAUUUAGCUAUUAUGAGCUACCAUGCUAUUUAAGGGCUUGUUUGUUAUAUUUGAGCAUGUUUCCUGAAGAUUAUGAAAUUGGGAAGGAUCGUUUGAUAAGGAUGUGGAUAGGUGAAGGUUUUAUCCAAUGUGAAAAAGUAGGGAAGAGCCUAUUUGAACUCGGAGAGAGUUAUUUUAAUGAGCUUAUAAACAGAAGCAUGAUCCAACCAAUAUAUGAUAGUAAAAAUGAUAUGAUAUCAAGCUGUCGUGUACAUGAUAUGGUGCUUGAUCUUAUCCGCUCCUUGUCAAGUGAAGAAAACUUUGUUACUAUACUAAGUAAUAUGGGAGGCACAUCUCCAUCAAAUACGAUUCGGAGGUUGUCCCUUCAGAAUGGUCAGGAAAGUCAUGUGAUGGCUCAAGCUACAUGGAGCUUGCAACAUACAAGGUCAGUUUUUGUCUUUCCAACUUCUAUUUCUCCAGUGCUACCUCUUGACUACUGCCGAGUUUUACGUGUUCUGGAUUUAGAAGGCUGCAAUCUUUCACAAGCUAAUAGUAUCCUUAAGUGCCUUGGGAAUAUACAUCACUUGAGGUACUUGGGACUUCGUCGGACAGGUAUUUCUCAGCUCCCAGAAGAAAUAGGAAACCUGCAGUUUCUACAAAUAUUGGAUGUAAGGCGCAACAAUAUUUUCAGGUUGGCUUCGAGAGUUGUCCAGCUAAGAAAGUUGAUGUACCUAUACAUUGACCGGUCUACAACAGUUCCAAACGGAAUUGGAAAUCUGACAUGCCUUGAACAGCUGUCAUGGUUACGCAUUAAUGACUCCACUAGAAACAUUAUACAAGAGUUGGGCCAGCUAACUGAACUGAGGCAGUUGUCCAUUGAAUUGGACAAGUGGAACGACAAGCUGUUGGAGUGCCUAUGCAAGCUACAAAAGAUGCAGGAACUAGUUAUCACGGUCCGUCAUGGUCAACGCAGCAUCGGCAGAUUGGAUGCUUGGGUCGCCCCUCGACAUCUCCGCGUAUUUCAAUCACCAGACAACUGUUGGUUUUCAACACUGCCAGCUUGGGUGAAUCCAUCGCUUCUUCCGGACCUGACCUUCCUAUCCAUCGACGUGAGGGAGCUACAUCAGGUUGAUCUCGAAAUCCUCGGGAGGUUGCCAGCUCUCCGCUUUCUUUCUCUGAAGAUGGACAACAAGAACCUUGGUAUCCUUGCAGGAUUCGUUGUUGGUGCUGGUGCAUUCCCGUGCCUUGUAACCUGUUACUUCUGUCAAUUUGUGUGGCCAGUGGUAUUUCAACAGGGAGCUAUGCCAAGGGUCAGAGAGCUUGUGAUCUGGCGGUUUUAUCUGCGGGAGGCAAGAGGAAUUGCCUGCACCGAUGGUAGUCUCGACUUGGGCAUGGGAAACCUGCCGUCGCUGCAAUAUGUCAAGGCUGACCUGCGAUGUGAUGGUGCUGGCAAGGAGGAGGCAGAGCAAGCCAAGGCUGCGCUGACGCAUGCAGCUCAAAUGCAUCCCAAUCAUCCCUUACAUUUGAUCCAUAUUACAGGUGCGCCAGCUCCUGAUUGUUAUUCCUUACUUCUCUCCUUCCCCUUUCUUCUAAACUGUAUUUGCGUUUAUUCCUCUGUUUGAGAUGGUCGAUCUCCAGCUGAUCUUUCACCACGCCUUUCUUCUAGCCCCUAUGCCUCAACUCUUCUAAUCUUCCUUUGGUAUAUUUCGGUCUGAUAUACAGAUCACGACUACUAUAAGACACUAUGCCGGAAGCUGGACCGGAGCAGAGCAGAUGUUUCGCCACGCAUGCAGAGGUUAAACUGCUCGGCCUUAGCUUUACCAGACACCCUCAACCUGCGAGUAAACAAUGAAUACUGCACACAUGCGUCUGUGACUUAGAGCUUUGAUCAUUUGUGCUGUAAUCCCUGACUAACUUCCCCCUCUGUUACAACUUACAAGAACUGUAAAGAAAAAAUAGAAACGCAGUUAACAUCACAUACAAUGAAUCACAUCCCAUCAACAGAUAUUUGUCUAAGCUUCUCUUCAUCUCCACUACGGCAUUGCACCCCGCAGCCUUCUACACACGACGUCUAUGUUUUUUGUCGUGUGAUUCUAUAAUGGAUGAAGAACUGGUUACAGGUGAUCCUCGGAAGGUCACUUGACCUUUUCCUUAAGGCCCGUCGAAUGAAUUUGUCCGCGUGCUCCCUCGACCACGCGUCCACGUCCAUCCCGGCCGGCGAUCACCAGUCAUAAUAAGCUGAUUAGGCUGAUAGCUAUAUGAUUGAAGCAGCGGCAGCACAAACUCGGGUGUGGGACGGACUCUGUUAUCGAGCGUCAAGCAUCAUCGUUUACAUGUUGUUCAGAAUUCAGUCAUAUGGUUCAGUUCACUUCUUGGUUGUCAGGUAUUUCAGGGAGCCAAAAGCUGACUAGACUCACUGAUGAAACAUGCAUGCAUAGUGCCAUUGGUUCACUGAUAGAGAACUCACCUUCCAUGCGCUCCCUUUUAUCCCGGUUUAAAGUUGAUCCGGGACAAAGGGGGACGCCAUGGUAGGUUCAAAUGGGGCGGAGCUUUAGUUCCGGUUGGUAUUUUCAACCAGGACUAAAGCUCCCCUUUCCUUUAGUCCCGGUUGUAACGGCUAGUUACCAACCACCGAUGGCGCCCCCCUUUUAUCCUAGUUGGCUUCCAACCGGGACAAAAGUGCCACCCUUUUGUCCCGGUUGGAGUUACCAACCGGAACAUUCCAACGGGGAUAAAAGGGUGAAGCUUUUAUCCCGGUUGGAAGCUCCAACCGAGAUAAAAACUCAUCCCCUAUAAAAUCGCAAGACAGAGACCUUUCUUCCUCCUCCAUCCCGAGCCACUCCACUCCACAAAGACAAAGGGCUCAUCCUGUCCAUGGCGCCGAAGCAAGCCUAGGGGAGGUGCUGCCGAAUUUUUCUCGAAGCAAUGGAUGUAUAACGUGGACAGAUGGAGCAUGAAGUUUGUUGAUGGCUUGCAUUAUUUUCUCGAAGUGGUCAAAACGAACAAGCCAGAGAACGGGUUCAUAUGUUUUCCAUGCUUCCAAUGUAGUAACAAGGACUUUUACAUGCACUUGUUUAGAUACAGUUUCAUGCCUAACUAUUUGGUUUGGACCAAGCAUGGCGAAAGAAGGGUUGUAAUUGAAGAUGACAUUCCAGACUGGGCUGCAGGCCAAACUUUUGCAGAUACUACAAUAGGCGAGGUUGAUGAAGAUAAGUUUGCAGAAGACGGCCCUACUGAUGUCACACCAGAUUUUAAGGACAAAGUUAAGUGCAUUAAAUACAUGUGCGCCAGGAUCAAGUUACACACAUAUACGACAUAAGUGAAUAACAAAGACAGUGCCAUAACGAAAUAAAGAGAGUAUUAACCAUUAUUACAUGAUAAGUUACACACAUAUACGACAUAAGUGAAUAACAAAGACAGUGCCAUAACGAAAUAAAGAGAGUAUUAACCAUUAUUACAUGAUCGAAAGUCUCAAAUAAACUACAAAGUUUAAUUAUUACGCAGCGGAAGUCCAAAAGUAGCGACGGCUCCACAGGCAGCUGACUGAAGAACUAUACGCCUAGAACUCCUCGAAGUCUGGAAACUCCUCCAGAUUCACUUGGUCUGAACAGUGGUUUUGCAACGGUGAGUACACUUAUGGUUGGUAGUCAACAAGUCGUGGAGAACAGUGUAGUGUAAGGCUACCCAAGGUAUGUCUAAGGCAUAAUCAGCAUUAGCUUUUAAAUUAGUUGGUCAAGUUUUAGUAGCAUUUAACUAAGUGUAAGUUUAUACCACCCAAAAUGAAACAAGAACAUGAAUAAAAUAAUAACAUAACCAUAAAUGAAACAACAACAAUUUAAGUCCAUCAUUCGAUAAUAUUAUCAUGUGAGGGUUCAAGCCGCUCUUAACUAUGAGCACGGCUGAUCGAUCAGUUUUACACUCUGCAGAUGUUGCACAACUUUACCCACCUGUCGUGUAAAAGUUAAAAAGAACUUUGGACACAACCAUGCGGUGUCUGCAAGGCACCAUACCACACUUCCGAGGUGUGAUUGCAUAGGGACGCUACGAGGCCUUUACAAAGAUUCGCUAAUAAAAAGUAGCCCGCUAAGAUUUCCCCCCUAAUUUGCAACUGAAUUGCCUACCACUAUUAUUUAAAAAACUUAAAGUAACCCCUUAAUUUUGCAUCUAUAUUACCCACACAUGCCAUUAUUAAAAAUAACAUAAGGUAACCCUAUGUUUGAAUCAAAUAACCUUAAUUAAAAUAUACAGUAAUAUAUGAUUCUAAAUCAUCUAUAUCUUGCACUAUUGGUAUACGAUAUAAUAAUUAAGGUCUAUACACAUGAUGUGUGUCACCAUUUAUAAGGAUAUAUAAAGUGAUGAGAGUAUAGAUUUCUAUGCUAAAAUUGUAUCUCAAACUUAGGGUUCAUUAAACAAAUUUAAGCGCAUACCUGCGAUGCAAAGUGAAAAGUUAAAUAUUAUAAAUGUGGAUAAAAAUAUUAUAGAGUAAUUACUAACUAAAAUCUAUCACAAUUGGAUGAAGAUAUUAAGUAUAUAUCUCCAUAAGUAUUGUGUUCUAAUAUUUAACAAACGAGACAUAGCUUAUGGUAAUAGUUUUGUAGCAAUGUAGUCUCAUUUUUUUUCCAUUAGAGACUCUGCAUUAGUUCCCACAACACAAGCUAUAAAAAAGAGACAAAUUCUCAUAAAAAUUAAAAACAUCAAACACUAAUCAUUUAAACUCUAAUAAUCAUAGCCAUUGAUGUAUUAUAUUUUUUAAAAAGUUACCCACCACUGUCAUUGUGAAAAUAUUUAAAAAUAAGCUCUAAACCUAUUUUUAAUUUACCAAGCUUAGCUAUUAUAAAAAAUAAUUUAAAUAACCCCAUAAUCUUCAUCCAAUUUACUAAUACACAUCAUUAUAAAGAAUAACUUAAAAUGUCAUUCUAAAAUUUUAUCUAUGUUACCCGUGUAUGUCGUUAUUAAAAAUAACCUCAAGUAAACACCUAAAUCUUAAUCUAAUUAUCUUCAUGUGCAUCAUACAGAAAUAUCGAAAAGUAAACUAAUAUAUGAUUCUAAAUUAUCUAUUUAUGUCAUUGCAAUAUAAAAUACUAAGUUAAAGUAUAUACACAUGAUGAGUGCCACCGUUUAGACCAUUUAUACAUGUAUGUGAGGAAUCAAUAAAAAAUAUUGAUUUGUAUGCUAAACAUAAUGUAUGGAGGAUUGGAGGUGAGAUACAAAAUGGAAAAUGUAUGAAUAUGGAUGAAAAAAUCAAUCAGAACUGGACAAAGAUAGUUACAUAUCUAUAUAAGUAUUAUGUUGAAGUAUUAAAAAUAAGAGAGUAGUAGGUAAACAAUUUUGAUUAUUAGCUAGGAAUUUAAUUUCUAAAUAAUUUUCAAAUACAAUAGCUUCUAAAAAUAUUAGCCCGUACGGGAGCAUGGGUUGAUGGACUAGUAAUUUCUAAUAGCUAGGGUAAAAUACCAAAACACAAAAAAAUGAAAUUGUUUUCAAGAUUGGUCGACUUUUCUGUGAAUCAUUAUAUUACACGUGCCAUGUGUUUCUUCUCAGCGUGGUCUCAUGAUUUUCGACAAGCUAAACCUUACAGGUGGUCUUUUCUUAUUUCGUGUCAUAAAAAAGAAAAUAAAGAUAACGCAAGAAAAUGGAAUUAAUUCCAAGAUCGGUUGAAUUUUGUGUGAAUCAUUUACAUGCACAGAUGUGCCAUGCGUUUCUUCUUCUCAGUAACAUGGUGAUCUUCUGAUCGCUGGAGGGAUUCCUUGCUGCGUGUACACACAACACAAGACCACCAGUUCACGCAGUCACCAUUGCCAUUAGCUUGGUUCACCAGUUCACGCAUGCGCGCAACUGAUGGUGCAGGAUGACCAAGGAGGCAUGGUUUACUAGUUGCUGGGUCUUUCUUUGGGAUUUCAAACUUCAAACUACUUUUUCUCCCAAAUCAAAAAUUUAUUUUUGAAUCCGUUUGUAACACCCAAAAUUUUAGAGAAUUCAAAUUCAUUAAAACUUGCUCAAAAUAGGGUGUCAUUUAAAUUCUAGGCAUUUAAUUUCAUUUUCUUUAAUUUAAUUAAUUCAUCGUAGGAGUUAUUUGGGUGUGACACAAGGCUAUUAUAUAUACUCCCAAAGUCUUGGAUGUCACUGAGUAACAUGUAUUUCUCUUGCAAGCAGCUGUGCACAUUAGCCAGAGAACUCUGAAGUGUUGGAGGAAACCAAAUUACUAUGAUGAGUCUUGACUUGUGUAGCCAAAUGCAUCCGCCGUAACUCGGCAAGCUUGAUGGCCAUCUUCCGCCCGUUUAAAUCAUUUUUUCGCAAUUAUCUACUCUCAGCAGAGUAAACAAACCUGUUUAGCCCACAAACACUUCUACAUACGAUGGUACGUGUCAUUAUGGCGGGUGCCUUUUAUUGUAUCUAAAGUUGCAUUAAACAACGGCACCAAGCCCAUGGUAUCUAAUUGGUGCCGGCGGGUAUGAUGGAUUUCUGGUCUCACGGCUUGACGAAUAAACUGGAGGAGAAACCCGCCAUUAAGCAUUUACUCCUGCUUGUAUGGUUUGGUUAAGUUUUAGAUGCCGGUUCUUACGGAUAGGAGGGAUUCAUACUCACAUUCCUGAGGUGCUCUGAUAUCUUCAUAGGAUAAUGUUAAAUGUUACAACAUUGCAUCGAAAAUGAAGAUUUGAUGAGCGCAAGUAUGGAUGCACAUUUUCUUUUUAGAAACUAAGCAUUGCAUGUGGCGUUUUCUUGUUUCCUGUCAUAAAAAAGAAAAUAAAAAUAACAAGACAAAUUGAAAUUAAUUUCAAGAACAUUCGAAUUUUGCGUGAAUCAUCAUGUUUCACGGUCCAUGUGCUCGCAUGAUUUUUACGUGAAUUGGCAGCAUAAUUUCUAUAUAAUAGCUAGGGUAAAAUACCAAAACACGGAAAAAUGAAAUUGAUUUCAAGAUUAGUCAACUUUUCUGUGAAUCAUUAUAUUACACGUGCCAUGUGUUUCUUCGCAGCGUGGUCUCAUGAUUUUCGACAAGCUAAACCUUACAUGUGGUCUUUUCUGAUAUCGUCUCAUGAUCUAUUUUCCAUUCCGGCGGUCUGUGUGCACGGACUUCGCUGGAAGAGCAGGCCUCCGAAGCUGCGUCCUUCACCAGAGACUCUACACCCGAGGAGUAGAAGGCCGAUCAAGUUUUUAGGGAGCGCGUCUGUGUCACUGCUCAUCGUUCGUCUACGACUACUUCCUAGAGGUACAAUUGCACUGCAAACAUCUGCACGGCAUCGAGUUCUGAUCGACUACAUCGAAUAAGCUCAACUAGCAAUGUUGGGUAAUGGCGCAUCUGGUUCCUCAGGAACUGGCUCCGCCUCAGGGUACUUCCUUAUGAACUUCUUGGUUUAAUUCUUACAGUUCAUAGUAUCCAUUGCAUGCUUUAUGUUCACUGCAAAUAAAAUAGUAUGCUAUCUUUAUUGUCAUGUUUCAUUUUAUAUUCGGAUUAAACUGAACCGCAAAUUGUCUCUAAUUCCAACAUUGGCAGCAUAAUUUCUAAUAACUAGGGUAAAAUACCAAAACACGAAAAAAUGAAAUUGAUUUGAAGAUUUGUUACUUUUCUGUGAAUCAAUUACACGUGCCAUGUGUUUCUUCUCAGCGUGGUCUCAUGAUUUUCAAAAAGCUAAACCUUACAGGUGGUCUUUUCUUAUUUCGUGUCUAAAAAAGAAAAUAAAGAUAACCCAAGAAAAUGGAAUUAAUUCCAAGAUCGGUUGACUUUUGUGUGAAUCAUUUACAUGCACAGAUGUGCCAUGCAUGCGUUUCUUCUUCUCAGUAACAUGGUGAUCUUAUGAUCGCUGGAGGCACUACCGGAAACAGUAAGGUUGCCGAGUGUCUGAGGCACUCGGCAAAGGCCGAAAAACUCUCGGCAAAGAGUUCGCCGAGUGUAACACUCGGCGAACGGCACUUGGCGAACUUUCCUACGGCAAACGUGGAGUUGCCGAGUGUCGAACAUCGAGCACUCGGCAAAUAAUUUGCCGAGUGUCAAAAAGCACUCGGCAAACAUUUUCGGAAAAAAAAAAACCGCCGGCCGUCGGCCGCCGGCCACGGCCACGGCCACCACGCCGCCACCGGCUGCCUACGCCGCUGCCGCCCGCCCGCCGCCGCCCGCCCGCCGCCGCCCGCCCGCCGCCGCCCGCCGCCACGCGCCAGAUCCGGAGGGGAGAGAGGUGGGGGCCGCCGGAUCCGCGCCGGAGGGGAAGAAGGGGGCGCGGAUCCGGCCGGUGGGGAGUGAGCCGAGGAAGGAGAGGCCGGAUCCGGAGGGGAAGAAGGGGGCGGCGGCGGGCGGGGGCGGGGGCGGGGGCGGACGCCGGGCGGCGGUGGGGCCGGGGGCCGGGCACCGGGCGGCGGGGCGGGGGGCGCCGGGCGGCGGGCCGGGGAGCGCCGGGGGCGGGGGGAGAGAGCAAGAUCUGAGGAGGAGAUAGUGGCGGAAGAGAUAAGGCCGGUGCGGUGCGGGCCGGGAUAAGGCCGGCUUGCGGUUGGAAAAAAAAAACGGUCGCCGAGUGUCCUAGGGUGACACUAGGUGAACGGUUGUUUGCCGAGUGUCUACCCUAGGACACUCGGCAAAGAUAUUUUAAAAAAAAUUUAAAAAAUAUCUAACAGUUUUAAAAAAUUGUCAAAAAUUUACAUGAAAUAAUAUAUAUUCUCUAUUAACUAUACAAAAAGUUUUGUAGUCAAAUCAAAACUCAACCGUCAUUUUGACUCCAAAUCUUAUGCAAUCCUUGUCAACGUUACUAUUCUUCUUCUGAAAUGCUUCGGUUUGUAAACAUCGUACGUAAUGAAAUAUGCAAAACAUUCUCAAUUUUUUUUCCACAGCCUCCACCUAUGAUAUUAUCACAUCAUGACAAAUCUCAUGAUUUUCAGACUUUGCUUGUUUUUUUAUAAUUUAAAAAUACCACUGCCACACGUUCGUGGUCGUGUUUCCUGAACAAGAUGUUCGAAAUUUCUUGUCAUUUCAUGGGUCAGGUCUCAAAUUGGGCCGAAUAACAUGAAUAUCAUUUUUCUACUCAUUUUGUUCCAUAAUUUCAAUCAAUUGCAGUUCAAAUUUGACUUAUACCAAAAAUUUCCUUGAAAUGCAAUUAAUUAAAUAAAUAUAGCAAAUAAAUCCAAAAAUAUACCAAAUUUUAACAUGGAGUACCACAUGUUGUAUGUGGGGAGUAGAAAAAAUUUCAUGGUGAAAAGAGGAAAAAAAUUAUUUUUUUGCCGAGUGUCAAAAAAAACACUAGGCAAACCCCCCCUAUUUGCCGAGUGUUUUUUUGACACUCGGCAAACCCCUCUCUUUGCCGAGUGUUUUUUUUGACACUCGGCAAAGAGGGGGGUUUGCCGAGUGUCAAAAAUAUACUCCGCAUAAAGCGGGGUUUGCCUAAUGUUUUAUUAAAAACUCGGCAAAAAAUAGAUUUUGACCUGGCCGGGGAGUUUUUAUUUGCCACUCGGCAAAGCCCCAAUUUCCCGAGUGUAUUUUUUUUCCCGAGUGUUUUUGAGCUUGGCACUCGACAAAGAGCUUGUUUGCCGAGUGCUCGCAAAAAAACACUCGGCAAAAAAAAUACACUCGGCAAUUUUUAGCUUUCCCGUAGUGAGGGAUUCCUUGCUGCGUGUACACACAACACAAGACCACCAGUUCACGCAGUCACCAUUGCCAUUAGCGCCGUCCUUUGCGACGUGAACGCAAGACAGGGUGAUCAUGACUCAUAAGGAGGGUCAGGGUCACGGAUGUUAGUUGUAGACUUACCCACCACGUUGACGACGAAGAAUCCUUUUAAUUAUUCCAGGGUGGCAACUGGCAAAGCCCGACGAGGCUUACUAAAGCAUCCGUGUGUAUACCAUCAGUUAAUCUCAUUUCUCAAUUUCCUUCAGGUCACAUGACGUUGGCACCCGGUAAAAUGAAACACUGAUGCAUCGUGAAAAGAGCUCAUGGUUCCGGAAUGAGCAGUUUGUUGGAUGACUUGCACUGCUUACAAGAGUGUUAUGAAUAAACACUCCCAUGCCUUGGAUGCCAUUCAAAAUGUUACCAAACAUAUGUAGAGUAACCUGCGUUUCUCUUUCAAGCAGCUAUUUAUGAAGUAUUGGAGGAAACCAAAUUACAUGCUUUCACUUGUGUAGCUGAAUGCAUCCAUGACAAUUCGACGAGUCAUAUUAGCAUAUUCUUCCUUACUUCCUUACUCUGCCCUAUUGAAAUAUUUCUCUCACAGUCUGCUAAAAAAUUAGGGCCAACAAACACUUCUAUAUAAGAUGGCGCGAGCCAUAACAGUUGGUGUGGUAACUGUAUCAAAGCUUGCACUAAACGCUGGAAUUUGGCCCAUGGUGCUAAUAGUAUACAUGAUCGUGACGGGUACGGAUGGUCAUGAUGUAUUUGAGAAAAGAGCGUCUGGUUCUUGCUGACUUCGAUCGAUGGCAUGAUCAAUGACAUGAUCAAGUUUGCUACCUAGCUGGAUCUGGAUAAGAGCACAUGUGUAAUGUGGUGGUGCGGCACCAAAGUGUGGUGCUCGUUGUCAACCAAGCCAUCAAUCAUGGUUUUUUUAAAAAAAAAUGUCGGAUACAAGAACUUUUGUAUCUGUCUGACCUUGUUCAUCUUCACUAGACAUCACAACCAGCUACACAUGCAAACUAGAUAAUGCAAUCUUCUAUAUUAUUACUAAUCAGACUCAUUUUGGAGCCUCCAUGUCAACACUCAUGAGAUGCGCUAGAAAAAAAAAGAUAAAUCCUUGAAAUUCACAUAAAAAUAAAAUAUAAAAUAUGAUCACGUUUAUACAUAUAUAGUGGCAUAAGUUUAGCCACUUCUUAGUUUUCUUCGCUUCAUGUCUCACACGACAUUGCUGGCACCAAGCAAACAGAACACUGAUGACUAAUAGAUGAACAUUGUAAAGUGAACUCACGAUCCGGAGUGCACUCAUGAUAGAUGAAGGAUGCAUGAACAGUUAUUGGACGACUUGCAGCAACGGUUACAUGCUUGCAAGCUAGAUAAAUACCAAAGACUGUCAUAUAUACUCUCAUUCCUUUGCUGCCGUUCAAAUGUUACACGGUAGUAUAGUAUUAAGAGAAACUUGUGUGCAGGAUCUUUUUUUUUUGCAACUUGUAAGAACUAAGAACUAUGAACUUUGUUUGAUCUGAUCUUUGGUCAACCAUCACCUUUGGUCUGAACUUUUUUACCGGCGGCAGCACAAACUUGGGAGGGACUCUGCGGCGGAGCAUCAACCAUCACCUUUGAUCUGAUCUUCAGAGUUCAGUCAUAUAUAUAGUUCAGUUAACUUAAUGGUUAUGAGUCUGAAGGAAAACCGCAAUUAUUUUACAUUUUGAUAUCGCCAAACUCCUGCCAAAUGCCUAAUCCCUUUCAAAUGAUGAUAAAUAUUUUCAUUUCAGGGCGGCAAAAUCUGAAGAGGCUCACUGUAUAUUGUACAUUAGUGCUACUAUCAGUUCAGCACCUUCUUCAUUUCCUUGAGGUCACACCACAUUAGUACCAGCAAUCAAAACACUUACGCAUCGUCAGAUCAACUCAUGGCUGGUGAAUGAUCCAUGAACAAUUGUUGGAUGACUUUGCAUCAACGGAUGCAUGCUUAUAUUACAAGCCAGAACCAUGCUCAAGACUGUCAUACUAUCAUAUAUAUACUCCUGUGGCUUGGAUGCCAUUCAAAAAUGCUGCAAGAGGUAGAGCAACUUGUAGUUCUCUGUCGAGGUGUAAACGAGCUGUGUAUAUUGGGAGGGACCUCUGAAAUAUUGGGUUGACUACCGGAAACAGGAAAGUUACCGAGUGUAAAAUCUUUACCGAGUACUUUUUGUCGGGCACUUGGCAAACACCUCGUUUGCCGAGUGUAUAGGCGCGGACACUCGGCAUACACAAUGCACUCGGCAAACAACAGAUUUGCUGAGUGUCGUGGAAAACACACUUGGCAAAAAUCCAACCGACACUCGGCAACAAUUUGACACUCGGUAACUCUCCAGCACGUGGAUCGCACGUGCGCCGUCCGUUAGGGCAGUGUGCUGGCCAUUAGUACUUUGCGGAAUGUCCGUUACCGACACUCGGCAAAGUUAGAGGUUGCCGAGUGCUUCCUCUAGACACUCAGCAAACUUAGAGUUUUGCCGAGUGUUUUCCACCGCCACUUGGCAAACAUAGAGUUUUGCCGAGUGUUUCUGUUGGCACUCGGCAAAGACAAAACUUUCUUUUUCACAUCUGCCCUCCACACUUUUUCUACUCCUCGCAUACGACAUUUGGUACUGCAUGUUAAAAGUUGGUCUAUUUUUUGGUUUGUUUGCUAUUUUUAAUGAAUUAAUAUCAAUAAUAGGAAUUUGUUGAUUUAAGUCAAAUUUAACUGCAAGUGAUUGAAAUAAUGGAAUAAAAUUAGUGAAAAAAUCAUAUUCAUGUUAUUGAAUCCGGAUUGAGGUCUCAAUCAGGAAAUGAAAAGAAAUUUUGAACAUUUAUUUUAGAAAACAUUACCACGAACGUGUGGUUGAAUGGUUUUUAAAUUCUAAAAAAAGCAAACGAAGUGUGAAAAUUACAAGAUUUGUCAAGAUGAAGCUACUCCUGUGAGUCACUUUUCAACCAUACAAUCAAUUUAUAAUUAAACUAGAAAGUACGGGUACUAGAAACUUAUAAUAGAAAAGUGACUAAUGCAAUCUCUUUAACUUUGUGCAGAAUCAAUCGGCAGCAUCCAAUGCUUUCUUGGAGCCAUCAUCUUGGUCGCAGUGGUCACCUACACAUCCUCCUCAGUGACUUGUUUGAACGGCUAGUGUGUUAAGCAAACUUGUGAAUUACUUGUUUAGACUAGAACCUAUAUGUACUUGUGAAUGUUAUUUGUGUGCUUGUGAUGCUUGUGAUGCAAUCUAUAUGCCUGUGAUGCAAUUUAUAUGCAUGUGAUGCUUCUGUGGUUGUUAUUUGAGAGGGGUCCUUUAUAUGUAACGAAUCUGUUUUGCAGGUAGAGGAAGGACACUUUGCCGAGUGUUAACACUCGGCAAAGAGGUCAAUUUCUAUUAUUCUGGGACUACUUUGCCGAGUGUUUUUGUUACAACACUCGACAAGGCGCCAUAAAAUGCUGGCGGUAGCAGCUUCUUUGCCGAGUGCCUUGCCAACGACACUCGGCAAAGUUUAAAAGUUUGCCGAGUGUCAUGAGUACGGCACUCGGCAAAAUAUAAAUCUUCGCCGAGUGUCGAGUAGACAGCACUUGGCAACAUGGAAAUAUUCGUCGAGUGUCGGGGAGGAGGCACUCAGCAAAAUAUAAAUCUUUGCCGAGUGUUCUUCCGUCUGACACUCAGCAACAACUCCGUUACCGUGACAUUCCGUGAACACCUUUUUGCCGAGUGUUUGGUUUUGUCGAGUGUUUUUUGGCACUCGGCAAAGUCUUUGCCAAGUGCCUGACGUUUGACACUCGGUAAAGAUACUGUUUGCCGAGGAAAAAUUCGCCGAGUCCUUUUCGCCGAGUGUUACACUCGGCAAACGCUUUGCCGAGUGUUUUUAGGCUUUCGCCGAGUGCGUAGGGCACUCGGUAAACUUACUGUUUCCGUAGUGGUUAUUGGAGGUAACCAAAAUAUCAUCCUCAGCUUUGACCUGUGUGGCUUAGUUCAUUCUAGGUAACUCAGCGGGCGACGUGGGCAUAUGGCUGUGGUAUCUGGUACUUCCGCUUGUUCGGCCGUUUUAAUGGAUUCACGAUAAGUUAUCUUCUCAUGGUCUUUGUCGAGUACAACUGAUGUAAAACGUCUGACACAGUGUAUUGAAGCGGUCGAUCCUCUCUCAUUCUGAUUGAACUCUUGGAGAUAGCAUACCAGUAGCAAAAAUUCCUUCUUUUUCAAAUUGAACAGCAAAAACAAAAAUGAUACUGUGACAGAUAAAGGACUUUGCAGGAACAGAGAUAUCAUCUGUCGUUCAGUCGUGGAACCGACUCAUGAUAGAUAAAGGACAUUGCAGGAACAGAGAGGGACAGAGCCCGUCUCUGCUAACACUUGCCAACCUCUGUGCUUUGCGCUGGUCUUCUCUAGUUUAGCCAAUCUUUUUUUUUUUUGCCUGAUGCAAAACUGACUAAACUCUCGGUGAAAGAAAAAUUAAGGACUUCCACGAAGCAGGACUCUCUGGGCCUAGCACAGGCCUAAACACCAAGCUGCUGAGCCCAAAUUUAUUCCGCCAAUGUCUCCAUGAUGUGCUUCCUGGUUAGGGGUCAAGAACUGUCCUUUAUGACUUGAUCCGAUGCCUCGAUGGUGUGGUUAGCGACUUUUGCCUGACAGACUGAACUAUGUAUGAAGAGACUACAUUUUCUUUCUUUUUAAAAAUAAAAAGCUGGACUUCACAGGUGGCUUGGUUGUUGUGCCUGCGCGUAUUCCUUCGCUAGGCACCGAAUUUGCUUGCAUUCAUAGAGCUUUCACUUGUGUAGCUGAAUGCAUCCACAACGACUCGGCGAGGCAUGUGGGCAUAUUGUUCUUUACUUUUGCCUAUUCAAUCAUUUCUCUCACGAUCCACUACAAAAAUCAGAGUCAACAAGAUCGCAUGAGUGAUAAUAGCGGACAUGGUUGCUCUAUCAUAGAUUGCACUAAACACUGGAAUACGUCAUAUCUUACUAUUACUAAUUGGAGGCUCCUUUUGAAGCCUCCAGGUGAAGCCACCUAGGAUUCCUAGGUGGACACCCUAGAAAUCCUAAAAAUUCUCACAAAAAAGCAAAACAUCCAACCAUCAAUUGAUAUAUUCAAAUCAUCACAGCCAUUGGAUCUAUUAUGUUUUUAAAAAAAUUACCCACCUAUGCCAUUAUGAAAAUAGCCUAAAGUAACCCCCUAAAUCUAUAUAUAAAUUACCCACCUCUACCAUUAUAUAAAAUAAACUAAAGUAACCCCUUAAUCUUCAUCGAAAUUACCCACUUAUGACAUUAUAAAUAAUAUUUAAAAUAACUCCCUAAUUUGCAACUGAAUUGCCUACCACUAUUACUUAAAGUAACCCAUUAAAUUUGCAUCUAUAUUACCCACACAUGCCAUUAUUAAAAAUAGCAUGAGGUAACCCUACGUUUUAAUCAAAUAACCUUAAUUAAAAAUAUACAACAAUAUAUGAUUCUAAAUCGUCUAUAUCUUACACUAUUGGUAUACGAUAUAAUAAUUAAGGUCUUUACGUAUGAUGUGUGUCACCAUUUAUAAGGAUAUAAAGUGAUGAGAAUAUAAAUUUCUAUGCUAAAAUUGUAUCUCAAAAUUAGGGUUCAUUAAACAAAUUCUAGCGCAUAUCUGCGAUGCAAAGUGAAAAGUUAAAGAUUAUAAAUGUGGAUGAAAAUAUUAUAGAGUAAUUACUAACUAAAACCUAUCAUAAUUAGAUGAAGAUAUUAAGUAUAUAUCUACGUAAGUAUUAUGUUUGAAUAUGUAAGAAACGAGAGGUAGCUUAUGGUAAUAGUUUUGUAGCAAUGUAGUCUUAUUUUGUUCCAUUGGAGACUCUGCAUUAGUUCCCACGAGACAAGCUAGAAAAAAGAGAUCUAUUAUAUUUUAUAACCACGAGACAAGCUAGAAAAAAAGAGACAAAUUCUUAUAAAAAUUAAAAAACAUCAAACACCAAUUCUGUAAACUAUAAUAAUCAUAGCCAUUGAUCUAUUAUAUUUUCUAAAAAGUUACCCGACACUAUCAUUGUGAAAAUAUUCAAAAAUGAGCUCUAAACCUAUAUCUAAAUUAUCGAGCUCAGCUAUUAUAAAAAAUAAUCUAAAGUAACCCCAUAAUAUUCAUCCAAUUUGGUAAUACACAUCAUUAUAAAUCAUAACUUAAAAUGUCAUUCAAAAAUUUUAUUUAUGGUACCCACGAAUGUCGUUAUUAAAAAUAACCUAAAGUAAACACCUAAAUCUUAAUCUAAUUAUGUUCAUGUGCAUCAUACAGAAAUGUCAAAAAGUAAACUAAUAUAUGAUUCUAAAUUACCUAUUUAUGUCAUUGUUAAUAUAAAAAUACUAAGUUAAAGUAUAUACACAUGAUGAGUGCCACCAUUUGGACCAUUUAUGCAAGUAUGUGAGGAAUCAAUGAAAAAUAUUGAUUUGUAUGCUAAACAUAAUGUAUGGAGGAUUGGAGGUGUGAUACAAAAUAGAAAAAGUAUGAAUAUGGAUGAAAAAGUGCAUAGAGUAAUUAUUAAUUCAAAAUCAAUCACAACUGGAUAAAGAUAGGUAUAUAUCUAUAUAAGUAUUAUGUUGAAUUAUUGAAAAAUAAGAGAGCAGUAAUUAAACAAUUUGGAUUGUUAGCUAGAGUUUAAUUUCUAAAUAAUUUUUAAGUACAAUAGCUUUUAAAAAUAUUAGCCCGGGAGCACGGGUUGAUGGACUAGUGGUGCUAAUAGUAUACGUGUUUGUAACUGAUAUGGAUAGACAUGAUGUAUUAUUUGUUAAAAGAUCCUCUGGUUCUUGAAUAGUUGAUCAAUUACAUGAGUUUGCUACCUGGAUGUGGAUGACAACACAAGUGUAGUGUGGUGUCUAACUGUGGUGCUAGCAUGACAUGAUCAUGGUAGAUGAAUGAUCCAUGAAUAAUUGUUGCAUGACUUCCAUCAAUGAUCAAUGGAUGCAUGCAUAAAGCAACAAUACCAAAGACUAUCACACUAUCAUUUACCAUUCAAAAUGUUUCAAGAGGUAGACUUGUAGAACAACCUGUGUAUCUUGCUGUCAAGAUGUACUCUAAAGUAUUCAGCGACCAGCAAGCAUUGAGUUUGGUGGUUGUACCAGUAGGUGAGCGGUGGUGCAUUAUUACCUUCACCGUCCGCUUCCACAGAGCAUUGAGCUGGGUGGCUGCAGCAGCGACUUCGAAUCAAGGGAGCUUGGUCCGGCGACGAGCGGCGGGGAGCCUGCACCGGCGGCGACAAGGCUCCAUUGCGACCAGUACGUCCUUGCUCACGCAUUCUCGUUCUUUACAGCUACUAGGCCAGGAUCUUUUCUAGUAUUAAACUAGCCUAAGCAAGAAUACGUCUUCAACUCGAUUCGCAAGCCUGUGCACACACAUACAUGCAUCUCACUUUCUUGCGCUCAUCCAGGAGUGCUCAUCGGAGAAAUGGAGGUCAUGGCUGGGGCACUGCCAUGCGUCAUAAAAAAACUCGGUGAUAACUACUCACCGACAAGUUUAUACUACUCAAUUAACGUAUCCCAACUAAACUUUCUCCUAAACGAAGCAUUAAUUGGGUUAGUAAGCUGGCGAGAGCCGCUACGCGUCAUUCCACAUGCGAGCGGGCCCCACCAUGUGCGUCUCGUCCUCCACCUCUCACGCACCCUCUUCAACUGUCGGUGGAGCACCCUCUUCAACCUUCCCCCCGGGCAUCUGCAUCCCAUCGACCUCUGCUUCGUGCUCUUCAAUCUUCAAUCUUCUUCAUGCCCAUCCAUUCCCAAUAGGCAAUAGCUACAACCUACAAAAAGGCAGGGCGAGCACCCGCAUCCGAAGGAGCCCAAGCGGCCAUCCACAAAGAGGUAAAGAAGAUAUAUUAAUAUGAUUUCUGUCGUUAGCUUCUCUCCAAUUAACCUUACACAUUGGUCUUCCCCAGGGACAAAUCCAUGGAGAUCGUGACCGGGGCAAUUCCAAGCCUCCUGCACAAGCUCGGUGAGUUGCUAGUUGGCGAGUACAAUCUGCAAAAGGAGGUGAAGGGAGGGAUCAUCUUCCUUCAAGCUGAGCUCGAGAGCAUGCAAGGUGCCCUCGAGAAGAUCUCGAUGACACCAGCAGACAAGAUUGACGACCAGGACAAGAUCUGGGCUAGGAGAGUGAGAGAGAUGUCCUACGAUAUAGAGGACAAUAUUGACAAAUAUAUCGUGCAGUGCAAGGGGAGGAAGACGGCCGAACAGCAUAGCUUCAAGGAAGCCAUUGAUAGGACCCUCAACUGGUUCAGGCAGCCUAAGAUUCGUCGUAAGAUUGCUACAGAAAUCAGAGAGAUCAAGAGCCGUGUCAUAGAGGUGCAUGAACGGCGCCGCAGGUAUGAGGUCAGCCUUGGUGUUGAUAAGCCUGUAACUGUGGACCCUCGUUUAUUCGCUCAGUACACGGAGGUGAAAGAGCUUGUUGGAAUUGAUGAGGCAAGGGAUGAGUUAAUCAGCAAGAUUAUGAUAGAAGAGAAUGAAGUUCCCAAGAAGCAAGGCAGGAUAGUUUCAAUUGUUGGAUUUGGAGGUCUGGGAAAGACAACUCUUGCCAAUGUAGUGUACAAAAAGAUUAGAGCACAAUUUGAUUGCUAUGCUUUUGUUUCUGUUUCUCAAACUCCUGACCUGAAGAAACUGUACAAAUGCUUGCUAUAUGAUCUUGGCAAGAGCAUCAACGAAGAAACAUUGGAUGAGAG
rnacentral:lncRNA from 1 species